rnacentral:lncRNA from 1 species
GGGGGGGGGGGGGGGGGGGGGGGGGGGGGGGGGGGGGGGGGGGGGGGGGGGGGGGGGGGGGGGGGGUCCCCGCGGGUCCCGGGCCGGGAGCGGAGCGCGGCCCCGCGCGGCCGCCAGGUGGCGCCACAGCCCCAGCGCUGAGGCGGCGGCCGGGCCCGACCCCGGGACUGAUCCCGGGAUUGAUCCUGGGAUUGAUCACAAACCUGAUCCCGGGAUUGAGCCCGGACCUCAUCCCAGGAUUAAUCCCGGACCCCAUCCCGGCCUGCAGCCGCUCCCGAAGCCGCUCCCUGCCCCCGUCCGCCCCGCCGAAUGUACCCGCCCCCACAGCCGGCCUGGGCGCUGCCCUGACGUCCUUCAGGUAACGAGUGACCCAAAAACCUGGCUGCUUUGGAAAGUGGAUAGUAUUGGCAAGCAAAGAAAUAUGAGUGGUGUUUUGCACCUCGAGACUUCCCUGUGCCCUGCCUGGAGUGCCCUCAGCUUGCUGGCAGCCUCGCCAGGUUGGCCGUGCUGGUGCCACAGGUCUUUGCCAGCCCCUCCGGGCCAACCAGAGUCUGUCCAAGCCUUCAGAGCACAAAGCCCUGAUAAGAAGGAUCUCUAACAGCUUAAUCAGAGCAGGAGAAAAACUUAAAAUUAAGAUUCUCUGUGUUUUCCAAGUUUCCUGGUGCCAUGGUGAGUUGGUUGGAGAGAGCCCAAACAAGGAGAUGAACUUCUGGAGGUGAAUUGAUGUUUGAACCUGAAACUUUCCAGUUGCUUGUGUUUCCAGUUCUUAACUUUGCAGCAUCUUGUAAGGAAGAAAGAGAGCUCUAAUAUUCAGGAAGACCCUCUGAAUAAAGCACUUCUUCCUAAUAUCACAAACUGCAAGAUCAGCCCUUGAGUUUCUAGAGGUUCAGAUCAGUGUAAUUUAAAGCAGAAUUUACCUACAAUGGUUUCCUGAAAUUAAAGAGCGGCAUUUGAGUUCUGCUUUAAGAGUGAAAAUUAAUCACAGUCAGCAAUACAGUGGUUUCUCCAGUUCAGAAACCUACAGUGGCAGGUACCCCACAGAAUUCCAUCCACAAGAGCACCCUAACAGAAAAAAUCAGGCUGUUUUUUAGUGCUCCUGUCUGGCUUUAAGCAGACAGGGAGAAUGCUGAGACCAGUCUCAGAAUCUGGUGAAAAACUGCUGUGGAUGGGGACAUCAAGUUGAUAUUUAGCUGUGCAUGGUGAACAUCCACAUUCCAUUGGAUCAAUUUCCUUGGAUCACCUGGAGCUGCCUUAAUAGACUGAAGACCAGAUAUCCUUUUAUCCAGAUAGAGCUCUUAGAAUUUGUUGUAACAGAAGUAUCAAAACACAUUUCUUGUAGUGUUUUACCUCCACAACCUGAAGGGAGGAGUCUGCAAAGA